GUGUGAGUGCAUGAGAGUGUCUUUGUGUACGUGGGUGUUUGUGUCUACAUUUUGGAGGAAGGGCCAUUUCUGUCUGACAACAUUACAUUGCACACACAGUGCAGGCCGUUAUUGCUUAACUUCUCACUGAGAGGACAAGACAAGAGACAGACAGAGCGGCCACUAUUACAGACAACACUAAGAGCUACAAGAGCCGGCUGCGCCUCAAAAUGUCCGUUUGGAAGACCAUACACUGGUGGAUGUUAAUUUGUCUGCUCGAUCACAUUGAAGGCGGCACAAAGAUCACCCUCCUCGGCCCUCGGACGCGUAUAGUCCUCGCGGGGCACGACCUCAAACUCAAUUUCAACAUUACAUUACCGCCGAACACCACCAUGGACAACCUGAGGUGCUACAACAGCGACGGGCAUGUGUACUCGUACAAAUCGAAAGAAGAGGAACAGGAGGUGCUGCUUCGCUUCACCGACAGCCGCCAGUCCGGCGUGUACCACUGCAAGUGCAAACAUGCCAUCGUGUACCUGGCCGUACUUGUGCGUGACAAGGGCUUUGAAGAGACGUAC
ensembl:lncRNA